rnacentral:rRNA from 1 species
AUUGAACGCUGGCGGCAGGCCUAACACAUGCAAGUCGAACGAGUGGCGGACGGGUGAGUAAUGUCUGGGAAACUGCGUGAUGGAGGGGGAUAUCUACUGGACACGGUCGCUAAUAGCGCAUACCAUGAGAUGUGCCCAGAGGGGAUUAGCUUGUUGGUGGGGUAACGGCUCACCAAGUCGACGAUCCCUAGCUGGUCUGAGAAGAUGACCAGCCACACUGGAACUGAGACACGGUCCAGACUCCUACGGGAGGCAGCAGUGGGGAAUAUUGCACAAUGGGCGCAAGCCUGAUGCAGCCAUGCCGCGUGUAUGAAGAAGGCCUUCGGGUUGUAAAGUACUUUCAGCGGGGAGGCGUUACCCGCAGAAGAAGCACCGGCUAACUCCGUGCCAGCAGCCGCGGUAAUUC